AAUAGAUACCCAGGUAGUCCACGCCGUAAACGGUGGGCACUAGGUGUGGGCAGCAUUCCACGUUGUCCGUGCCGUAGCUAACGCAUUAAGUGCCCCGCCUGGGGAGUACGGCCGCAAGGCUAAAACUCAAAGGAAUUGACGGGGGGCCCGGCACAAGCGGCGGAGCAUGUGGCUUAAUUCGACGCAACGCGAAGAACCUUACCAAGGCUUGACAUACACCGGAAACAUCCAGAGAUGGGUGCCCCCUUGUGGUCGGUGUACAGGUGGUGCAUGGCUGUCGUCAGCUCGUGUCGUGAGAUGUUGGGUUAAGUCCCGCAACGAGCGCAACCCUUGUCCCGUGUUGCCAGCAGGCCCUUGUGGUGCUGGGGACUCACGGGAGACCGCCGGGGUCAACUCGGAGGAAGGUGGGGACGACGUCAAGUCAUCAUGCCCCUUAUGUCUUGGGCUGCACACGUGCUACAAUGGCCGGUACAAAGNGCUGCGAUACCGUGAGGUGGAGCGAAUCUCAAAAAGGCCGGUCUCAGUUCGGAUUGGGGU
rnacentral:rRNA from 1 species